rnacentral:rRNA from 1 species
GACGAACGCUGGCGGCGUGCUUAACACAUGCAAGUCGAACGGAAAGGCCCUGCUUUUGUGGGGUGCUCGAGUGGCGAACGGGUGAGUAACACGUGAGUAACCUGCCCUUGACUUUGGGAUAACUUCAGGAAACUGGGGCUAAUACCGGAUAGGAGCUCCUGCUGCAUGGUGGGGGUUGGAAAGUUUCGGCGGUUGGGGAUGGACUCGCGGAGGAUCAGCUUGUUGGUGGGGUAGUGGCUUACCAAGGCGUUGACGGUUAGCCGGCCGGAGAGGGUGACCAGCCACACUGGGACUGAGACACGGCCCAGACUCCUACGGGAGGCAGCAGUGGGGAAUAGUGGAGAAUGGGCGAAAGACUGAUCCAGCAAUGCCGCGUGAGUGAUGAAGGCCGUAGGGUUGUAAAGCUCUUUUAACCGGGAUGAUAAUGACAGUACCGGGAGAAUAAGCUCCGGCUAACUCCGUG